UACGUAGGGUGCGAGCGUUGUCCGGAAUUAUUGGGCGUAAAGGGCUCGUAGGCGGUUUGUCGCGUCGGGAGUGAAAAUCCAGGGCUUAACUCUGGACUGGCUUCCGAUACGGGCAGACUAGAGGUAUGCAGGGGGAGAACGGAAUUCCUGGUGUAGCGGUGAAAUGCGCAGAUAUCAGGAGGAACACCGGUGGCGAAGGCGGUUCUCUGGGCAUUACCUGACGCUGAGGAGCGAAAGUGUGGGGAGCGAACAGG
rnacentral:rRNA from 1 species